GAGAGACCAGGAGAGCUAAGUGAUUGAUGGAGCUUCCGGAAGUCUUGGCGGCUGUACCGGCGCUAAUGUUCCUCCUUUUCCUGAGGUGGAGUGGGCCCAAGCGGUGGUCAGGUUUUCUAAUCACAGAAUUACUGGAGCGUCAAGAAGCGCCUGCAUGCUUGGAAGGGCUUCCAGGCAGAUGAACACACCUCAGCACCGGGUGGCAGUUUCCCAGGGUGCAACCCGGACCGGCUCUGGGUCACACUGACAAGGAUAACAAGGAUUAACAAUUUCCAGAGACAGCCCGUACAUAGAGGGAAAGUUUACUGAAAAAAAUGAAGAGGGGUCAGGGCAAGGCGAGGAGCAAGAAGCAUCCCCAAGGAAACAGAGAAGACCAGUACAACUGUACCUCUUUGCCAGCUGCACCAUCCGUACCAGUCUCCUGGGGUGGGAGUGUACAGCUCAGAGACUGCCACACUGCAAGACGAAGGGGCUGGAUGGACGGAAGUAAGAGGCGGAACCCUGCACACCCUCGGCCUCAGCCCCACUGAGUCUCCAAUGGGGCCACGCUUCUGAGUGCACCUCCCCCUGUCAUCUGUAAUGUGAGGGGGAACCAGGCUUGAUAUGGCAUUCCCAAUCCAGGGC
rnacentral:antisense_RNA from 1 species